GAUGAACGCUGGCGGCGUGCCUAACACAUGCAAGUCGAGCGAACGGACGAGAAGCUUGCUUUUCUGAUGUUAGCGGCGGACGGGUGAGUAACACGUGGAUAACCUACCUAUAAGACUGGGAUAAUUUCGGGAAACCGGAGCUAAUACCGGAUAAUAUUUUGAACCGCAUGGUUCAAAAGUGAAAGACGGUCUUGCUGUUACUUAUAGAUGGAUCCGCGCUGCAUUAGCUAGUUGGUAAGGUAACGGCUUACCAAGGCAACUAUGCAUAGCCGACCUGAGAGGGGGAUCGGCCACACUGGAACUGAGACACGGUCCAGACUCCUACGGGAGGCAGCAGUAGGGAAUCUUCCGCAAUGGGCGAAAGCCUGACGGAGCAACGCCGCGUGAGUGAUGAAGGUCUUCGGAUCGUAAAACUCUGUUAUUAGGGAAGAACAUAAGUGUAAGUAACUGUGCACAUCUUGACGGUACCUAAUCAGAAAGCCACGGCUAACUACGUG
rnacentral:rRNA from 1 species